AUUGAACGCUGGCGGCAUGCCUUACACAUGCAAGUCGAACGGUAACAGGUCUUCGGAUGCUGACGAGUGGCGAACGGGUGAGUAAUACAUCGGAACGUGCCUAGUAGUGGGGGAUAACUACUCGAAAGAGUGGCUAAUACCGCAUGAGAUCUACGGAUGAAAGCAGGGGAUCGCAAGACCUUGAGCUACUAGAGCGGCCGAUGGCAGAUUAGGUAGUUGGUGGGAUAAAAGCUUACCAAGCCGACGAUCUGUAGCUGGUCUGAGAGGACGAUCAGCCACACUGGGACUGAGACACGGCCCAGACUCCUACGGGAGGCAGCAGUGGGGAAUUUUGGACAAUGGGCGCAAGCCUGAUUCAGCAAUGCCGCGUGCAGGAUGAAGGCCUUCGGGUUGUAAACUGCUUUUGUACGGAACGAAAAGCCCUGGGUUAAUACCCUGGGGUCAUGACGGUACCGUAAGAAUAAGCACCGGCUAACUACGUGCCAGCCGCCGCGGUAAGAC
rnacentral:rRNA from 1 species